rnacentral:ncRNA from 1 species
AAAACGGCUCCUUUAAGAGCCAUCAAUAAAAUAAUUACAACGAAUU